rfam:Camelus ferus unplaced genomic scaffold scaffold1858, whole genome shotgun sequence.
GAGGGUAUAGACCAGUGACAGAGCUCAUGCUUAGCAUGCACUAAGUCCUGGGUUCAAUCCCCAGUGUCUUCA